CCCCCCCCCCCCCCCCCCCCCCCCCCCCCCCCCCCCCCCCCCCCCCCCCCCCCCCCCCCCCCCCCCCCCCCCCCCCGUCCUGUCCCUCCAUCCCUGUGUCCUGUCCCUCCAUCCCUGUGUCCUGUCCCUCCAUCCCUGUGUCCUGUCCCUCCAUUCCCUGUGCCAUGUCCCUCCAUUCCCUGUGUCCUGUCCCUCCAUCCCUGUGCCUGUCCCCCCAUUCCCUGUGCCUGUCUCCCCAUUCCCUGUCCCCAGUCCCUCCAUCCCUGUCCCCAGUCCCUCUCCAGCUCUCCUGGAGCCCCUUUAGUCCCUGGAAGGGCUCUGAGGUUUCCCUGGAGCUUUCUCCUCUCCAGGUGAGCACCCCCAGCUCUCCCAGCCUGGCUCCAGGGCAGGACUCCACCCUCAGGGCAGCUCCGUGGUCUCUGCUGGACUCCCUCCAGCAGCUCCACAUCCUGGCAUUGGGAUUUACAAUUUUCCCCUGGGAUCCCUGUCAGGAUCUGAGCUGAGCAGGGCAGAACCCGCUCCCUGCCCCGCUGGGGUGAGCCUAGGCUGUGCUGGCACUCCCUGCCCAGGCAUUGCUGCUCCAGUGCCACCCUGGAGCCGCUGCUUCCCUCCAGCUCUCACCUGUGCAGGGCAGGAGCGGCCCCAGAGCCACCACAGGGCAUCGCCAGGGCACUGCUGGCCUCAAACACGGGCUGUACAACCCCAGGAGAGCUGAGCACAAACCAGCCAAGCCCCGCCGAGCCCCAGUGGGGAUUUUAUUGCCAAUAAUAAAGUUCUGUGGUGUCUCUUACAGGAGAGAGGAGCAUGUCAAGUGGGAUGCUGCUUAACGUCGUCUGGGACAGCGCUGAAGGUAAGACCCUGUGGACUGAGCCAUAUUUCAUCACAAACUGAGCCCUUUAACCAACAAACUUGUUCUGGGAAAGUUUCCAGCUCCGACAGUCCCUGGCGUUGGGGGGCGGUGGGAUCUCUCAUGCUAGGAGCAUCAAAGGAGUCUCUGGAGAUGCUUCAGCAGAGGACGGGAGCCUGGGAGGAAGACUUCAAAAUCCUGGCAAGGCUACAAAUAAAAUACACUUUGGUCUUAAAUUAAUGUAAAAUUUUAUGAAACUGUCUCUCCGAGAUUAUUCCCAAUGUGGAGUUAAAAAAUAAACAAGCAAACAAAAAGCAAUAACAACAACAAAAAAAUCCCUGGCUGGUGUCCACAAAGAACAAGUGCUGUGGUUUCCAACUCUGAACGACAUUAUCCUCCAGGAACUGCCUCUUUGGGAAGAUUCCACAUGGCCAGGCUUUAGCUGCAUCCUCUGCUUAAAAAAAUGGAGACAUCCAAGGUCUCUGGAAAAAAAAAAAAAAAAAAAAAAAAAAAAACCCCCCCCCCCCCCCCCCC
rnacentral:lncRNA from 12 species